GAUGAACGCUGGCGGCGUGCCUAAUACAUGCAAGUCGAGCGAACAGACGAGGAGCUUGCUCCUCUGACGUUAGCGGCGGACGGGUGAGUAACACGUGGAUAACCUACCUAUAAGACUGGGAUAACUUCGGGAAACCGGAGCUAAUACCGGAUAAUAUAUUGAACCGCAUGGUUCAAUAGUGAAGGACGGUUUUGCUGUCACUUAUAGAUGGAUCCGCGCCGCAUUAGCUAGUUGGUAAGGUAACGGCUUACCAAGGCAACGAUGCGUAGCCGACCUGAGAGAGUGAUCGGCCACACUGGAACUGAGACACGGUCCAGACUCCUACGGGAGGCAGCAGUAGGGAAUCUUCCGCAAUGGGCGAAAGCCUGACGGAGCAACGCCGCGUGAGUGAUGAAGGUCUUCGGAUCGUAAAACUCUGUUAUUAGGGAAGAACAAAUGUGUAAGUAACUAUGCACGUCUUGACGGUACCUAAUCAGAAAGCCACGGCUAACUACGUG
rnacentral:rRNA from 1 species